GCGGGUUCAAGGAAACCCCUUAUUCGCUGGAUCGGGAUGACUCAGAGAGACGGGGUCAUGGCCUAUGGCUGAGUGAUUACACGACGGUGUAAUGUGGCAGUUACCCGAAGGACUGUGGGCUGUUGCACGGUGACCCGAAGGACAGUGGGCCGCGGUGGUUGAAAGUUCCUUCUUCUGGCCUUUGUGGUAGGGAGAUAGGAUAGUGAGAGGUUGAAUUGUGUUGUUAGGUGAACCUCUCGCUUUAGAUUGUUUGGGGUGGGAUAGUGAGAGGUUGUAUUUGUUAGAUGGGGAUCAUAAUUCACUGAGUAACAUUAGGUUAUUCAUCCAACUCCGUUGUCCUUUUUGCAGGUCACUUUAGGUAAGGAUGAUCGGAUAGCUUGGUGCUGGACGUUAGGACCGCCGGUGUAGAUUUUCAUGCCUUUUGUAAACGGUAUUGAGUUAUGUGUUUUGUUGGCUCGAUUUGGCAUUAGGCCGAGCCCAGUCUCGAAUUAUUCAAUGUAUGGAUAUUUCUCGAAUCAAUAAAGUAAAUGUUUUAUAUGCGCUUCAUGAGUAGUCUGAUAUUUGACUAGUCGUGUCUAACACAACGUUAGGUCGUAGUACGGGUUGAAAAGCCUUAGGCCUCGAUCUAAUGGAAAACGCUAACUCUUGGCCGGGUCGCAAAGCCUUGUGCCUUGACGCAGCAGGACGAGUUAGUGGAUCAACUGGUCGAGGUCGUGAAGUAAAUUUUGUGACUCUGACUGGAUUGUCCCUAGCCUGUCACGUAGCGCUUCCAAACCAUGGUGUUGGGUUGGACGGCCGGUCAUGUUCUUGUUUGAUUGUUGGCCGGUGGGUAGACCUAUGCUUAGGACGGUUCGGGGGUGUUACAGAGGUGGUAUCAGAGCAUGGUUUCAUCCAUGCUUCCAGAACUCAUCAUUUAAUCGGUUUUUGAAUUUUUUUAUCGAGUCAUAAUGAGUCACAAAAGGCAUUAGGGAAACCGGUCACGUCCAGCGAUAGGAUUUGUGGUUUUAGGAAUUAGGAUUGAGAUAGUUGAAUCUAGAACUGUUAGGUUGCUGGUUAGCAUUGCUACGUUGUUUGGUUAGAAUUGCGGUUAGGUUGUUGUUAGAUUUGUGGGUUAGUAGAUUAUUUGGUUGGUUGUCUGCUAACUUGCAUGUGAGGUGUUCUUUUGAGUUGCAGCGAGUAACUGUGUUCGUUGAUCGAAACUUUAAGGGAUGAAAACCCAAACCCAAAGUGAAAGAGGAGAGACGGUUUCAGAGGGACUGGACAGUGGUAUGGACGGGACAGAUGGGAGGAAACAAGACUUCGUUGGGAAAGGACUUCAUCAGUAGUUGGGGAAAAGAAGAUCGAGAAGUAUUUGAGGAAUCUGGACAAGUUUGUAUCAUGGGGAAUCAGAGUUUUAUGGCAGAGCAACAGUAAGAGAUGAUCCAGCAAUCAUUCAACAGAAGACGAUUGUGGAGGCCUUGAAGAGGACACUCAAGGAACCGUGGUGGACAGAGUAAAGAGGUUAUGGAGACGAGUGGAGAAUGUUGUGAAGACAAGCAAUUGCGUAACUAAGAAUUCGAGGACGAAUUAUAUUAAGGAGGGGAGAAUGUAGAAACCCGUUUAAAAAAAAAUGGUCAGAGUAUCUUUGUGGUGGUCAAGUCGCGGGUGAUAUCGAUCGAGAAAUUUUGAAGUACGAGGUGGGCGAAGAAGUGAUCGUGAGUGAACUAUGAGUCGAAUAAGUUGCUCUGCCAUAGUUAGAAGAUGUCUUAGAUUGGUCAGACGGACGUUUUGGAAGCAUAACAUUUUUGGAAGCACAACAGUUUAGAGGCUCGAUGUUUUAGAAGAAUGACGUUUCUUCAGCACGAAGUUUUCUGCGAAACUUCGUAUCAGCGGAGUAUUAUUUCGAAGACAUUGGAAGCAGGAUGGGAAUUAAGCAUGACGGGAAGCAAGCACGAUGGGAUCAAAGCAUGACGGAAAAACCCGAAGUUGGGCGAAAACCCUAAUUCCGGUAUUAUGGAAUUCUUCGAGGAGGCCGGAGGCUCGGGAAAUAUUUUUCAUCAAGGUCAGAAAUAUUUUGGAGUCUCUGAAGAAUAAUUAGCUCAUCAGAACAGGAGCGGAAAAAUAUUCGGGAUUGAUCGUGGGAGGGUCAAAAAUCGCGUAAACCGACCAAGAAGCUCGAGGUGUCUCUAUGCAUAUGGCCAGGACGUUAUGUCUAUCACAUCAGCAGCUGAGUGUCAACACAAGGAGGAGGUGUAGACAUGCAUGUAAGCUGCACAUGCAGAUUGACAUGUAGAAGCACGAGGUGGAUCGACCAAGCACGAGGUGUCUCCGCGCAUGCAACCGAAGCAUGCGGCCAGCCAUGUGUGUGAUGCUGUGGCGCCUUGCAUGAGUUUCAGUAAUGCAGCCUGACAUCUGGGAGGAGUGGUGGCGCCCUGGAUGAGUCCUGGCCAUGCUGAAGGACAUGUGGAGCAAGAGGUGUUGCCGUGCAUGCAUCCGGAGCCAUGCGGAGCGACACACCGGCGGCAACCAACCUGAAUCUGAUUGGCUGCUGUAUUCUAUAAUUAGGCCACGACCCCAGAUCACUUGAGGACAUCCAGACCUGUCCAAAGCCAGUUAAAAACGUGAGAGAAAAGUAGAAAAAGAAAGCAAGUGAUUCCGAGCUAUUUUGAGAGUUUUAGAGAGUUUUUGAGGUCAGUACUCUACUGAUUUCGAGUCAGCGCCUAGGGAAGGUUCUAUCCAACCGAAGAUCAAUUAAGUGAAGAUCAGUUCAGAUGGGAAGCAAGUCAACGUGGCUAGAGAGGGAGAGAGAAACAAAGUGGCCGACUUAGAGUAUAGUCGAUUCUCACCGAGAAGGCCAGUUCCGUCCAAUCGGCGAUUCUAUAUGAUUGUGACGCGGAAGCUCUGUCCAAAUGAUUUCGUCCAGGCCAGUCAGUUCCUUUGAUGAUCAAGUGGAGGUGAUGUCCAGAUAUAGUUCAGUUCCAUGGUUUCAGAUAAGUCGAAGUUCUGCUCGAUACUCCGCGGGAAGUCCGAAGAACUGUCCAGAAGCUAGAGGAGGUUCUGUCCGAGUCCAGAUCGGUCUGUCGAAGCCUGUCAGUUUCUACAUGGUGAAGCCGAGGUUAUGUCCAAGUCAAGAUCAGUCCAGUCCAGUCCAGUCAAGGCGUCCAUUGGGUUUUGGCCAAGUCCUCUCCGAUCAACCAGCUGCUUAUCGGCAAAGAACACUGUGAGUUGUGAUCAAUUGAUUGCUGACUUGUUUUCAUGCAGGUUCCCGUUACUAGGAAGUUGGAUCAUGGCAGGAGGCCAGGUCUAACUGAGUAACGGUUUGAUUAGUUAAUAGUUGAGGCGCGGUGACCCGAAGGACAGUGGGCCGCGGUGGUUGAAUGUUCCUUCUUCUGGCCUUUGUGGUAGGGAGAUAGGAUAUUGCCGAUAGUGAAGGAGGAACAUAAUGUCACCAGGGCCCGAGUUUGUUAUAUAUAUUAUAUCGGGUUUUGGGUUGUUAAACCUUGGUUUAAAUCGAGUUUGAGUUUGGUAAUGAGCUAGUAAUUAGCAUAAUGCUAGUUAUCUUGCUAUCGUUUACCGCUGCAUAUUUCGGAUAUUGCUUCUUGUUAUUGAAUUGUGUUGUUAGGUGAACCUCUCGCUUUAGAUUGUUUGGGGUGGGAUAGUGAGAGGUUGUAUUUGUUAGAUGGGGAUCAUAAUUCACUGAGUAACAUUAGGUUAUUCAUCCAACUCCAUUGCCUUUUUGCAGGUCGCUUUAAGUAUGGAUGAUCGGAUAGCUUGGUGCUGGACGUUAGGACCGCCGGUGUAGAUUUUCAUGCCUUUUGUAAACGGUAUUGAGUUAUGUGUUUUGUUGGCUCGAUUUGGCAUUAGGCCGAGCCCAGUCUUGAAUUAUUCAAUG
rnacentral:lncRNA from 1 species